rfam:Rattus norvegicus chromosome 5, whole genome shotgun sequence.
GGAGAUUUAGCUCAGUGGUAGAGCGCUUGCCUAGCAAGCACAAGGCCCUGGGUUCAGUCCCCAGCUCCG